CCUACGGGUGGCAGCAGUGAGGAAUAUUGGUCAAUGAACGCAAGUCUGAACCCGCCAUGCCGCGUGCAGGAAGACGGCUCUAUGAGUUGUAAACUGCUUUUGUACGAGGGUAAACGCAGAUACGUGUAUCUGUCUGAAAGUAUCGUACGAAUAAGUAUCGGCUAACUCCGUGCCAGCAGCCGCGGUCAGACGGAGGAUUCAAGCGUUAUCCGGAUGUAUUGGGUUUAAAGGGUGCGUAGGCGGUCGGAUAAGUUAGAGGUGAAAUCCCGAGGCUCAACUUCGGAAUUGCCUCUGAUACUGUUCGGCGAGAGAGUAGUUGCGGUAGGCGGAAUGUAUGGUGUAGCGGUGAAAUGCUUAGAGAUCAUACAGAACACCGAUUGCGAAGGCAGCUUACCAAGCUACUUCUGACGUUGAGGCACGAAAGCGUGGGGAGCAAACAGGAUUAGAUACCCUUGUAGUC
rnacentral:rRNA from 1 species